ACUCUUAUUUCUCUUCAGAUCGAAUAAAUCUUUGGCCUUUUACUCAAGAUUUCCGUGGGGAGGAACAAUAAGAAUCUAUCUAAAUGUUUUGAUGUUCUGCGAAAGCGGAGCU